rnacentral:rRNA from 1 species
ACAUCUGACCUCAAAUCAGGUAGGACUA